CAUGUUUGCCUUUGUGUUUGAUGGUGACAUUUCGGUGUUAUUGUCAAUAUUUGAAAUUUGGUAUAACUCCCAUGACUCAGGUAUGAUCCAAUUCAAGGACAUUGCCAGGUAGGGAGUUUGACUGGGGCAGUACAUCUCUCAAAUAAUAACGGAGGUGUCCCAAGGCCAGCUCAGUGCGGACAGAAAUCACACAUAGAGCAAAAGGGCAAAUGCU
rnacentral:sRNA from 1 species